UUGGCAAGUUUCUGGUGUCUGAGUAAGAGGGAUGGCAAACCAACCCUAUUCCCGCGUUUAAUAACGAGCUGUAACCCCAUUCAAGGCAGAUUGAAGGGCUUCGGCGAGCUACAACAACUUCCAACUUCAAACAACCUUCUUGAGACUAAAUUGCGUCGCUACGUGUUCGGAUUGUAGUCGGCGCUCUCCCUAUUCGACAUUUUUACGAUUUGUUCCGUGAUGCGGGGAAUCUCAAAAGUUCAACGUGUUUGGCGACUUUAAGUGCGUCUCGCGCGUUUUCUUUUGGAGCGGCGCGUCUUUUUCGGCGGCUUGGCAACAACGCGUCAAGUGACGAUAAUGCAGAAAUUAUUGGGGAGCCAGUCUGGCAUUAAACGCAUCGGUUAAUCGAGGAAAGACGUUUCUUGGCUGCUUAAGGUCCGGCUUACAUGGCCAUUACCCAAAUACAGGAUCACCGUAAAUCUCCUAUUGAACGCUAAAAUGCUUCUGUUACAUAUGCCUAAUUGAGCGGCUUAACCGUGGGAGUUAGCUACGGUUGAUCCCUUAAAUAUAGCAUUAUAUCUACCGCAUUUAGUUUGGAAAUAGCUUUCAAACAAAUUAUCACUAAUCUUUUUAAAAUUACAAAUAGCAAGAUACUGCAAAUAAAGCUUUGAAGAACAACUGAAGUGAGCAACGUUUCACGCUUAUAAACCCACAUUGGGCGCAUUACGCACAAAGUGAAGUAAGGUUGAAUUAUUAUG
rnacentral:lncRNA from 1 species